AAAAUGGUGGAGAGGAGGUGGCACGUGCGGCUGGUCUCACCCAUCGCACACACAGCAGCAUCAUCAAAUGUGGCAGUGUCUUCUCUCUCCUUCGAUUGCUGUGCUAUGCCGUAUCGUUCGAAGAGCGACCCGGGCUGCGUCGACUCACCGGUCGAAAGAGCUGCAUGUACCUUUCCUUUGUGGUGCAGCAGCAUACGCUGUGGUGCUCGCAGUGGGCCGAUCCUAUGCGUUGUCGUUGUUUUUUUCGCCCCAGCCUCCCCCUUCCACACACACACACACAAGCAACUAGGUGACGGGCCCGGCGGGGCUGUAUCGCGAAGUCACAGCGCAGAAGGCUCACCUCUACAUGCUCUCAAAUCCCAGCACCGGGGUGGAUAGCGAUACUGUGUGGCACAACAGUGCGUCGAUCAACUAUGUUCACCGGUCCCGCGAAGAUACACCGCCGACGAUCAGCCCCAAGUGUUACGGCAGGCGCGCCGUACUGUCGUGUGCCACGAUGAACAACAAACAGAGCACCCCCGUUAUCGUAUGCACUUGUGCUGAGUCGAGACACGUAUAGCGCCAGUGCAUCGCCAACGCGGCUAGCUGGCCACUGUUCAACACGUUCGUGAAGAGGUCCAUCAACGCAGUUAUCGGUCAAGAAAGCAUACGGGGACUGGUCAGUUGCAGCGCAUUCCGCGACCCAAUCGGGUGGUGGGCAAAACAGAUCAUGGGCCUGUAGUGGCUAAUCGCCUUGGCCGCUCGCGUGAGCGGCGCCGAUGGCGUGCGAUCAAGCAUUUUAGUCUUCUCCACGACGAGCGCACCCUUCCAGAGCGGCCACGCCUUUGUGCACAGCCUCUCUGUGGAUGGGAACGGCAGCAGUAGCAGUGGCGGUGUCGAUGUAACUGUGCAGACCCUGGAGAGGCCGGGGUGCCUUACCUCAAGCUGUCCGUUGCAAACUGGAGGCCGGAUCUCGUCGUCUAUGAUGCCUACGCAGUGGCCACCAACAAUGCCAAUAACUAUCUGUUUACCGCUGACCAGGCGCGGCAGGUGACCGUGGAGGACUUUGGUUGCUUUUUGCAGUGGUAAGACCUUCUAUGACCCGGUGCUGCGGCGGGGACAGAUGAGGGGAGGGGGCGUGAAUCGACGAAGCGUUGGUGUAGUCGCAUACCAGCGCGAACGGCUGAGCCGGCAUGCAAAGCAUCUGCGACAUCGUGUACGACGCCGCAGAGAAGCACCGCCUUCCUCCCAUCGGGGAAACGCAGGCUCUGCGAGCCGAUCGCAUCGCCUGGGGCACCUCCCCGACGGUCAUGAGCGGCCCCAAUGACAGCCAUCGCGAGAAGCUCUCGAGUCUUCCAGUGCCAGGAGACCAUCGCCACCUUCUACACCCCUCCUGGCAUCUUUGGCGGUAGCACGUAGUCUGCCGUUGGCCUGUCCGAGCUCGGCUUGCGCAUGCAGGUGAGUACAAAUGCGUCACGCCACGUGUCUGUCUCGCUGUGCAUGCCCGUUACGACCUCCACCCGGGCCGGCGGCUGCAAUCAGUCCGGAAGCCUUCUACAGCAAGUCUCCGUGCCGGACAGCGUCGACGCCGCCGCGAGCCGGGCGGGUGCAGUGUACUCAGCAGGUGCCGGUCUGCGAGGCAUGGAAUGUGAAGAGCGCUCCAGGCUCAUACUGCGAUUCCCUUCCGACUUUGGCGCCUCUGCAAGUAGACUGCAGCGCGCUGCAUCUUCGUUCAUCGAGCUCCCCCAGACGGUGAGCAGGUGCGCCUCUCAGGGUCGUCCUCCCUAGGUAUGCGAAGCUGCACGUCUUCGUCGACGACAGCGUGAUGGCGGUAUACAAGGAUGAUGGAACGGAGGUGCUGAGCAGUUGUGUCUAGCUGCCGAGAGGGGAUGACGUCACGGGAGUGUCACUCAUUAGGCACAACAUGAAUGCUGUCACAGCCGGCGCGACAUUAAUCUCAAUGAUGUCCAUGGGCUCCCCAGCGGUGCCCAAUGAGCCUCAGGUACGCACCAAUGGCGCCGGAUUUGCGCAGCGCUGCCCUUAUGUCGCGGUUUCGAAGAGCAUGACUCGCUGUGCAAGAAUCCACUAGCCCCUGAGAACGCGGAGGGCGUUGAUAUAAACCUGACGGACGCAGAGCAGCGUAAUUGGUGUGACAACGCCCUCCUUCUCUUUGCCCACACCCACACUCUCUUAUUUGCGCAUUUGUUCUCCUUGUUAUCGUCUAGAGCGGCAGCAGCCACUGCUGCAGCCGUCUCUCUCGCGUGCUUGUGCGCGAGUUGGCAAGGAUACGGAAAUUGGUGUCUUGUUUCUUCUCUCUCUGUUCUGCUACGUAGCCCCCCCCCAAUUCGCCAUCACGCUGCGCGAACGCUGGCACACAACUUUCUCUAUGCUCCUGAUAGCCCCACCCUACCCCCUUUCCACCCUCAUUCGCUUCCUGCCUCUAUCUCAGUCUGCUGCUGCGCGUUACGUUGCCCCAUCGUGUAUGCGUGCAUCCGUGUCUCUGCUGACGGCUUUCCUGAUGCACCACUGCACUUCCCCUCCUUUUCUUGUUCUGUGUGGUUUAUACGUCACCGCCACCCCAACUGUCUCCUGACAGCAACGUGCGUCUGCGCCGUACCGUUGCGGUGAUGCGUGACAGAACGUACGAGGGGACUACGGCAUCCCUCUUACCAACGUCUUGAAAAAGGAGUUGAAGCUGUGAAAAGUGCGGGCAGAGCAAGCGCACACGGAUUUCUGCGCCGGCGGUGGCCUUCAUUAUUGAUGGGUCUUUGUCGUGGUCGAUGCCAGUUCUUCCCAUCUGCUGUCGUUGGUUGUUUCACCACCGCCACACACCCCACGCCAUCCCAUCUCCCAUCUGGCACACACGCACACACACACACCUAUUCUUCUUCCUCACCUGUUCGUCUUCCUGCUUUACGAGGUCAGCCCGUCACACG
rnacentral:misc_RNA from 1 species